UGUGCGCCCGUAGCUCAAUGGAUAGAGUACUGCCCUCCGAAGGCAGGGGUUGCUGGUUCGAUCCCAGCCGGGCGCG
rnacentral:tRNA from 1 species